CCUCCCCGUCAUUUCCCCCUCCGACUUCGGCAUGGACAGCACCGCGCCGAACUUUUCUUCCGCCGCCGCCGUCGCCGCCGCCGCCGCCGCUUCCGGCAACGGCCUACAAGGGGGAGCGGGAGGGGACCGUCCCGAGGACCCGUCGAAGCAGAACCUGGCGCAGGUCACGGGCUCGAUCCAGAAGACCCUGGGUCUGCUCCACCAGCUCAACCUCAACGUCUCCUCCUUCAGCUCCGCGUCCCAGCUCCCCCUCCUCCAGCGCCUGAACGCGCUCGUGGCGGAGCUCGACACGAUGCAGAAGCUCGCCGACGGGUGCAACAUCCAGGUGCCCAUGGAGGUCGUCAAUUUGAUUGAUGACGGGAAGAACCCCGAUGAGUUCACCAGGGACGUGUUCAACAGCUGCAUCGCCAAGAACCAGAUCACGAAGGGCAAGACGGAUGCUUUCAAGAGCCUGAGGAAGCAUCUUCUUGAGGAGCUGGAAGAAGCUUUUCCAGAUGACGUUGAAGCGUACAGACAGAUACGUGCUACCUCUGCUGCUGAGUCAAAGAGGUUGGCUCAGUCCCAAAGUGCUUUGCCUAAUGGAGAUGCCAAAGUGAAACCUGAGCAUUGAGAGAAUAACCCAAGUGCAAAGAGCAAGAUCUUGCUUUAUAUUUCCUAUAGUUUUUCUUAGGAAGGCUUUGUGAACCAACAACUGAUAUAACCUUUACCACCAUCAAUAAUUUUCGAAGUGCCUGAUGAAGUUCACUCAUCUGAUAAAACUGGACGUGUCGGUAAGUAUUCUCAGGAACUCGAGAGCCAGAAAUGGGAUUCUUCAUUUAGUGAGUCUUCUAGAGGUGGUGGCCCCUCUUUUGCAAAAGGCUCGAGCUAAAUGUAACUGCCCCUCUUCCUCAGAUGCAUGUCUCAUGUUUAUCUUCUUGGGAGAAAUGAUGUCUGCUUACUGCUCGUUGCAUUUGGUUCGCCGUAGUUUGCAGUGCACUGUAACUGCUUAUACUAGAUUUGACUACAUGGAACUGUAAUUUGGAAUGUUAAAUUUAAUUUAAAUAGAAGGAUAACUUA